rnacentral:lncRNA from 1 species
CUGUCUGGGUCUCAGUGUGUUCAUCCAUAAACUUCAGGAGAAGUACUAGAAUCUCUUAAGCCUUGCCUGUAAAGGCCCAGGACUUUGGGAUACCCACCCUGCCAUACAUUCCCUGAGGGCAGGCAGUUGGGUUCAACCGCUGGGUGACCGACUGAGCACCCAGCACCCAGCCAGCCGCGGGGAGGGUCCGCCAUGCCAGCUGCUUGGGUGGCUGCUGUCCCUAGACCUGGAGAGCCCUCACAAACCAGAGGCCUUUGUCAAAGCAUGAGCCAGGACGUGCCCAGGACGUGCUCUGGCAGAGGCCGCAGGAGGAACCCGCUCCUGAAGCGAGCAUCCUGGAUCCCUAAGCAGGUCACCCCGGAGGUACUCUGCACGGUGGCGCCUCAGGACCAAGCAGGAGACCUACCUGGCAAAGGGCGAUGACACAUCUGGCAGGAGCCCAGUGUUCUCACGGGACAUCCUGAAAUGACCUGUGCGUGACCCUCACUCGACUCUGCAGCUUAUGUGGCCGGGAGGCUGAACUGUGAGGGAUUUCAUUACAGACGUCCUGUGUGUAUGCUGGGGUGGGGGGGUCUCCCAGGUAGAGGCACCUUCAUAGGGUUGCUGUGGACCAGGGGACGGCCUUGGUUCUGGUUUGCAGUUCCAGAUGUUGGAUUCAUAAACAUUCUCGUCGUCAUUCAGGCUCAAGAGCUGUUUGACUCUCCUGAAAAUGACUUAAGCUCCGGGUUCUGGGAAUACCUUUCCGAAGCUCCCUGGGUACGUAGGGUCCUUACGACGAACCAUAAGCCAGGUCACCUGUCCUCAGACAGGAUUUUAUGCUGUUUCAGGGUACAUUUGGGUCUCUGUUGGAGGCUCAGCUCAGCCACUUGCUAGCUGUGUUAUUUUGGCCAAGUCACUAAACCUCCAUGAGCCUUGGUUUCCUCGGGACAAAAAUGGGGAUAUUAAUGAUGAUCUCACAGGGUGUGAGGAUCAAGGGACACGAUAAAGAGUUGCAUCUCAAUCAUGUGUCAGAGUGGACUGUGUCCUUAGGAUUCUGACACCAACUCCUGAACUGGAAAACAAAGGCAAAAGAAAUAGAAAAAAAAUUAAACUUUCUUGCAACUUACUUGACACGUACUUGGGACAGGGGUGACCUUCCCCCAGGCACUCAACUGCUAGAGGCAAUGUUAAUACUUUUCUGGAGGCAAAAGGCAUCCUUACCUUGACAGAGCCGACCUCCAGGAUCCUUUAAAUCUUCUUUAACAUAUGAAAAAAAUCCCUUUGGAAACUUCCUUUAUCUCUACCCCCACCCAAGAUAUUUGUGAGCAGUCAUCUUCCAAAAAUAUGGUUCCCUGAUGUAUGUCUGAAGGGUCUCACGGCUAAUGUUUUACUAGACAAUAGUAAAUGCCCCGUCAAGGUCCUGGAAACCUUGCUUCCAAAUUCCUCAGAGACUUACCCUGGCCCUAACCCCCUCCCAACUUGUCACUCUUCACCACCCCAGAGUAGCACUUUCCGCCCACGGAUCCUGUCCCCGUGCUUUAAUAAAACCACCGUUUUUGUACCA